UAGGGAAUCUUCCACAAUGGACGCAAGUCUGAUGGAGCAACGCCGCGUGAGUGAAGAAGGUCUUCGGAUCGUAAAGCUCUGUUGUUGGUGAAGAAGGAUAGAGGCAGUAACUGGUCUUUAUUUGACGGUAAUCAACCAGAAAGUCACGGCUAACUACGUGCCAGCAGCCGCGGUAAUACGUAGGUGGCAAGCGUUGUCCGGAUUUAUUGGGCGUAAAGCGAGCGCAGGCGGAAUGAUAAGUCUGAUGUGAAAGCCCACGGCUCAACCGUGGAACUGCAUCGGAAACUGUCAUUCUUGAGUGCAGAAGAGGAGAGUGGAACUCCAUGUGUAGCGGUGGAAUGCGUAGAUAUAUGGAAGAACACCAGUGGCGAAGGCGGCUCUCUGGUCUGCAAACUGACGCUGAGGCUCGAAAGCAUG
rnacentral:rRNA from 1 species